ensembl:lncRNA
CUUCUGUGCCUCUUGCCUCCCAUGCUGAAGCAGUAAAUACUUCAAGGGAAGGGCUUUCUUAUGGCUUGUUACAAAUUACUCUGCAUUAGAAUGGUUCUUGUUCACCAUUUCAAGUCUUGUGAUGCUACGAUAAGACCAAAGUGAUCACUGCUGCCUCAGAUAUUAGAGAAUGUAUGUUUAACAGAAUGCUUUUUUGUCUUGUUUUGCUUUGUUUUCCUAUUAAUGAUGCCCUUUGCUUUUAGCAAGUUUUCUGGCCUUCCUGUUCUAGUGCUUUUCUCUGUACUCUCCCUUCCCUUGGUGUCAGUUUGGUGUUGCACUGCUAUGCUGGCCUUCACCCUGCUUAAAGACAGCGUGCAACAAAUACUGCUUGUAACUCUCUGAUAAAGACAGAUGAAUCUCUAUUUAGUCUCUAAAGGAAAUAGUGAACCAGUUCUCCAGCUCAAAGCAGGGCUGAUUUUGUUUCGAUGGGUUUUAUGAGCCUCUUUCUUUGUUUCCUGCAAACAUCUGUCCGGCCAUAUUUUUUAAAAUACAUUCACAGAAAAGAGCAGGUGUCAUAUAUAGAAAGGAAAAAGUGUGGCACUCUGAAAGCAUUUACUUGGCUGUUUUGGAACUUUUUUGUGGGUGUUGGAGUGUUUUAAUCAUUCAGUAAAAACAAUGCCAUGCAAUUUAGCAGGUCAGAAGCUGCUUACACAGCCUACUUGCUAUUCUAAGGCUGGAAUCCAUUCAUUUACUCUUGAACACCAAGUCUUAAAAACUGGCAUUGUGGAGUUGGGUACUUUCAUUAACAUGAUUUCUAAGUGGAGCCUUUGCAGAAUAGCACAAGCUCGUUCACAAAUAGUCACAAAACCUUUUUCUUUUACCUCCUAUGGGUCUUCUUAAUCGCAUGUUGUAAAAUGUUUUACCAUCACUUCUUACAAAGACUAAUUAAAAAAAAAAAGUUUCUUACAGAGGAAGUGAUUCAAUAACAGUGGAUAUCAUCCCAAAGAGAUGUACCCACACCAAUGAAAUAGCAAUCCUCCAACGGCACGAAUGAGGGAGAGCAGAAGUACGAAUGAGAGUAAUCAGAUGAGUCUCUGGGGGGACUAAGUUAGUAUGAGAUCAGAGCAGUAGGAUGAGAUGAACACUCUAGAGAGCUCUAAAAUCCAGGGAGGGACUCUUAAUUGGAUUAAAUGCCGGAUGAAUAUUUAAGAGCAUAAAACCAGUCAAUGUGUCUGAAAAUAAGAGAGAUUUACUCGCAUUUCUUGCAGCAUGGAUCUGGGACUCUCACAAGUUUCUGAAAGCAGGGAUUUGAGAACUUGUCUGUUACAAGGCAGGGUCAAGAUUAACUUGGAGGUCUCAUUGUGUUUCUUGGAAUAACACAAGAGGCUUUGGAUACAUUCAUAACUUGCCCAGACAAGGCUCUGAACAGCCUGACCAAAGCUGUCUGGUGUCAGAAGAGGG